AUGUAGGUAGUUAUAUAUAAAUUUAAAUUGGAAUGAUAUAGAGAAGAUUAGCAUGACCUUAUUUGCACGAAGAUGACGCGAACAAAUCAAGAUAUAAAAAUCGAGCAA
rnacentral:snRNA from 1 species